GAUGAACGCUAGCUACAGGCUUAACACAUGCAAGUCGAGGGGAAACGAUAGAGAAAGCUUGCUUUUUCUAGGCGUCGACCGGCGCACGGGUGAGUAACGCGUAUCCAACCUGCCCAUCACUUGGGGAUAACCAUGCGAAAGUAAGACUAAUACCCAAUGACGUCCAUAGAAGACAUCUGAAAGGGAUUAAAGAUUUAUCGGUGAUGGAUGGGGAUGCGUCUGAUUAGCUUGUUGGCGGGGUAACGGCCAACCAAGGCGACGAUCAGUAGGGGUUCUGAGAGGCAGGUCCCCCACAUUGGAACUGAGACACGGUCCAAACUCCUACGGGAGGGAGCAGUGAGGAGUAUUGGUCAAUGGGCGAGAGCCUGAACCAGCCAAGUAGCGUGCAGGAUGACGGCCCUAUGGGUUGUAAACUGCUUUUAUAAGGGAAUAAAGUGAGCCUCGUGAGGCUUUUUGCAUGUACCUUAUGAAUAAGGACCGGCUAAUUCCGUGCCAGCCGCCGCGGUAA
rnacentral:rRNA from 1 species